rnacentral:rRNA from 1 species
UACGAAGGGGGCUAGCGUUGCUCGGAAUCACUGGGCGUAAAGGGUGCGUAGGCGGGUCUUUAAGUCAGGGGUGAAAUCCUGGAGCUCAACUCCAGAACUGCCUUUGAUACUGAAGAUCUUGAGUUCGGGAGAGGUGAGUGGAACUGCGAGUGUAGAGGUGAAAUUCGUAGAUAUUCGCAAGAACACCAGUGGCGAAGGCGGCUCACUGGCCCGAUACUGACGCUGAGGCACGAAGCGUGGGGAGCAAACAGGA